CAACACCGCAUUUUGUCACUCAGACGAAAACUUAGCAAGAAAGAUGCCAAAGUUUUACAAAAGUCGGCUAACCCAACGUCUCCUGGAAACUUGAUAAGAUCCCUGGGACACACUUCCGAACCCUCACAUGCCAACUGUCACCUAAGAGAGGAAGAACUCCUUCGCAAACUUGGACAGAACAUGAAAUUUGUGGAAACACAGGGGCAAAAGAUCCUAAAUUUGGAACAAAUUGUGCAACAGCAGAAACGAACGAUCCAAGAACUAACUUAGCAGCUACAACGACAUGGCGGUCAUGACGAGCCAAGCUCCAAGCCACAGACUUCCAACAGCCUCCUGGCGGGCCUCCUGUCAGACCCAAUGGCUGAACUUCCCGGCAGACGUAAUAACACGGCAAUCCUGGCAUCGCUUUUAAGAAAUAGUAAUCUCGACAGUGAUGAGGGCGAGGACAACCCGCCGCAAAGGGGUAGAGUGAGACACGUUGCUGGGACAAGAAAAGACAACAAUAUUUUGUAACUUGGGACUCAUUUUUUUAUUAUUGUUGGUUAUUGCGUAACCUAUUUCCGGCUUGAUAAGGUGUCUCAAUAUUUAGCCGGGAAUGCAAAAAUUCAUUUUAACAAUAUGUACACUCUAAAUAAAAGUUGUGGAAAAUUUA